CAUAGGGUACUUUACUACAAAAUGAACACAACUGUGGUGGCCUCUGACUAAGGCGCGAUACCUUUACCUCGGUCGCUCGCCGGCUCGCUCGGUCCCGGCUCUGUGGAAAUAGUGGGGUGAGAACUACAACAAAGUUCCCAGUGGGUUCGGCCUCAACAUCACCGACUUUCCCACUAGGACUAACUCAGGCAUAGUAGAAAGAAUAAGCUGUAUAGUAACCAAUCUAUAACAUGAUGCUAAUAUGCCUGAACAAUAAGCAAGAAGUAUGCUCAACAUUAAAUAAAUGCAGAUUAUGCAAAUUCUUUCAUUCUUUGACUUUACUUUGUGCUUUGUUCUUUAUUCUUUGCUCUUUGUUCUUUGUUCUUUAAUCGUUAAGGCUAACCCGGGGGCUUCGCCACAUUAACUUGCUUCACAUUAAGUCCAUCAUCG
rnacentral:lncRNA from 1 species